rnacentral:rRNA from 1 species
CCUACGGGAGGCAGCAGUGAGUAAUAUUGAUCAAUGGGCGCGAGCCUGCACCCGCCAAGUAGCGUGAAGGAUGACUGCCCUACGGGUUGUAAACUUCUUUUAUAAAGGAAUAAAGUGAGGCACGUGUGCCUUUUUGUAUGUACUUUAUGAAUAAGGAUCGGCUAACUACGUGCCAGCAGCCGCUGUAAUACGGAGGAUCCGAGCGUUAUCCGGAUUUAUUGGGUUUAAAGGGUGCGUAGAUGGGUUGUUAAGUCAGUUGUGAAAGUUUGCGGAUCAACCGGAAAAUUGCAAUUGAUACUGGCAGUCGUGAGUACAGUUGAGGUAGGCGGAAUUCGUGGUGUAGCGGUGAAAUGCUUAGAUAUCACGAAGAACUCCGAUUGCGAAGGCAGCUUACUAAACUGCCACUGACAUUGAUGCUCGAAAGUGUGGGUAUCAAACAGGAUUAGAUACCCCUGUAGUC